rnacentral:rRNA from 1 species
AGCGAACGCUGGCGGCAUGCCUAACACAUGCAAGUCUGACGGGCGGGGCUUUUGGGCUCUGUCAGUGGCGGACGGGUGAGGAGCGCGUAGGAACGUAUCCAGGGGUGGGGGACAACCGCGGGAAACUGCGGCUAAUACCGCAUGGGGCCUUGUGGGGAGACCCGAAAGGGGGGNGUCCGGGGCCAAAGGCGAGGGCGACCUCGCCGCCGCUGGAGCGGCCUGCGUCCGAUUAGCUAGUUGGUGGGGUGACGGCCCGACCAAGGCUGUGAUCGGUAGCUGGUCUGAGAGGA